GUGUCAGCAGCCGCGGUAAUACGUAGGAGGCGAGCGUUGUCCGGAAUUACUGGGCGUAAAGCGCGCGUAGGCGGUAGGGUACGACCGGUGUGAAAGCCCCCGGCUCAACUGGGGAGGGUCACGGGUAACGGCUCUACUUCUGAGUGCAGGAGAGGGAAGUGGAACUCCGGGAGUAGCGGUGAAAUGCGUAGAUACCCGGAGGAACACCAGUGGCGAAGGCGGCUUCCUGGCCUGUGACUGACGCUGAGGCGCGAAAGCUAGGGGAGCAAACGGGAUUAGAUACCCCAGUAGUCC
rnacentral:rRNA from 1 species